rnacentral:lncRNA from 1 species
GCUGCACGUCGCCGAGGGGCAGGUUCUGGAGGGACCACCUGGUACUCCAUCCCUUCCCCGACUGUGGUUGCAUCAGACGCCGCUCCGGGCCCCCGCCCGCGCCGCCAAGCCGCCAGGGGCCUUCCGGGCCAACCUGCCGAAUCGGGCAAGGGCCGGGUCUCCUCCGGCCGGGUCGGCGCCUACGCGAGCGGCGGGCUCGGCCGCGGCCUCCUCCCCCAACCCCUCCGAGCUACAACCCGCGGCCUCCUUACCUGC